GGGUAAGGUGUUGGGAUCUCUUGGUGUUAUGGGUAAGGUGUUGGGAUCUCUUGGUGUUAUGGGUAAGGUGUUGGGAUCUCUUGGUGUUAUGGGUAAGGUGUUGGGAUCUCUUGGUGUUAUGGGUAAGGUGUUGGGAUCUCUUGGUGUUAUGGGUAAGGUGUUGGGAUCUCUUGGUGUUAUGGGUAAGGUGUUGGGAUCUCUUGGUGUUAUGGGUAAGGUGUUGGGAUCUCUUGGUGUUAUGGGUAAGGUGUUGGGAUCUCUUGGUGUUAUGGGUAAGGUGUUGGGAUCUCUUGGUGUUAUGGGUAAGGUGUUGGGAUCUCUUGGUGUUAUGGGUAAGGUGUUGGGAUCUCUUGGUGUUAUGGGUAAGGUGUUGGGAUCUCUUGGUGUCAUGGGUAAGGUGUUGGGAUCUCUUGGUGUUAUGGGUAAGGUGUUGGGAUCUCUUGGUGUUAUGGGUAAGGUGUUGGGAUCUCUUGGUGUUAUGGGUAAGGUGUUGGGAUCUCUUGGUGUCAUGGGUAAGGUGUUGGGAUCUCUUGGUGUUAUGGGUAAGGUGUUGGGAUCUCUUGGUGUUAUGGGUAAGGUGUUGGGAUCUCUUGGUGUUAUGGGUAAGGUGUUGGGAUCUCUUGGUGUUAUGGGUAAGGUGUUGGGAUCUCUUGGUGUUAUGGGUAAGGUGUUGGGAUCUCUUGGUGUUAUGGGUAAGGGGUUGGGAUCUCUUGGUGUUAUGGGUAAGGUGUUGGGUUGACAGUCGCUGGGGAUCUCUUGGUGUUAUGGGUAAGGUGUUGGGAUCUCUUGGUGUUAUGGGUAAGGUGUUGGGUUGACAGUCGCUGGGGAUCUCUUGGUGUUAUGGGUAAGGUGUUGGGAUCUCUUGGUGUUAUGGGUAAGGUGUUGGGAUCUCUUGGUGUCAUGGGUAAGGUGUUGGGUUGACAGUCGCUGGGGAUCUCUUGGUGUUAUGGGUAAGGUGUUGGGAUCUCUUGGUGUUAUGGGUAAGGUGUUGGGAUCUCUUGGUGUUAUGGGUAAGGUGUUGGGAUCUCUUGGUGUUAUGGGUAAGGUGUUGGGAUCUCUUGGUGUUAUGGGUAAGGUGUUGGGAUCUCUUGGUGUUAUGGGUAAGGUGUUGGGAUCUCUUGGUGUUAUGGGUAAGGUGUUGGGAUCUCUUGGUGUUAUGGGUAAGGUGUUGGGUUGACAGUCGCUGGGGAUCUCUUGGUGUUAUGGGUAAGGUGUUGGGAUCUCUUGGUGUUAUGGGUAAGGUGUUGGGAUCUCUUGGUGUUAUGGGUAAGGUGUUGGGAUCUCUUGGUGUCAUGGGUAAGGUGUUGGGUUGACAGUCGCUGGGCCCAGGUUUGAGAUUCGGCCAGGGCUACCCUUCGAAUUCUCUACAAUAUGUUAUUACAAUGAUCGCCACCAAUGG